rnacentral:rRNA from 1 species
GAUGAACGCUGGCGGCGUGCUUAAGACAUGCAAGUCGAGCGGCAACAUGUUUCUCACUAAGGUUCGAAACGGUAGAUAGUAGGCAAUAGUUUGUAGUUGGGUUAGCCCAUCUACCAUCUGUUAACUGCCAACUACCAAAGUUCCGAGCUUUAGUGAGGAAUGAUGGCGAGCGGCGGACGGCUGAGUAACGCACAGGAACGUACCCCAGAGUGAGGGAUAAUCCGCCGAAAGGCGGACUAAUACCGCAUAAUCUCUUCGGAGCAAAGGAGCAAUCCGCUAUGGGAGCGGCCUGUGUACGAUUAGCUUGUUGGUGAGGUAAAGCUCACCAAGGCGACGAUCGUUAGCUGGUCUGAGAGGAUGA